rnacentral:rRNA from 1 species
UAUCUCUGUAGAGUCUGCAUAUCAAUAAGCGGAGGAAAAGAAACUAACUAGGAUUCCCUUAGUAACGGCGAGUGAAGCGGGAAGAGCUCAAAUUUGAAAUCUUCAAGGUUUUACCUUGACGAAUUGUAGUUUAAAGAAGUGUUUUCUGUUGGUGUUUUGGUAAAAGUUCUUUGGAAUAGGACAUCAUAGAGGGUGAGAAUCCCGUAUUUGACCAUUAUUUCCAGCUUUGUGAUACACUUUCAAAGAGUCGGAUUGUUUGGGAAUGCAGUCCAAAAUGGGUGGUAAAUUUCAUCUAAAGCUAAAUAUUGGCGAGAGACCGAUAGCGAACAAGUACCGUGAGGGAAAGAUGAAAAGAACUUUGAAAAGAGAGUUAAACAGUACGUGAAAUUGUCAAAAGGGAAGCGUUUGACACCAGUGUUGUUUUCUCGAAAAUCAAUUAAAAAAGGCAGGAUUUUGUGUUGUAUUGACUUUAUCAGCUUUCUGCACUCUUUUCUUGUCUUUUUUAAUGCACUUUUCGUUUAACAAGUCAACAUCAAUUUCUUUUGUUGUAAAAGGGUCAUUGGAAGGUGGCUUUCUUUUCGGAGAAAGUGUUUAUAGCCUUUGGCCUCUGCAAUCGGAGAGAUUGAGGUCUGCAGCGCAGAUCCUUCGGGGUUAGAUACAUUUGUGCUAAGUUAUAGCCUUUCAUAGACAACUUGUUGACUAUGAUCAGUCAUGUAGCUUACUCGCUUAUGCUAUUUUACCUACGCUUAGGAUGUUGACGAUCAGCUGAGCGCG